rnacentral:tRNA from 1 species
UCCCAUGUGGUGUAAUGGUUAACAUUUGACGCUCUCACCGUCAGGCUCCGAGUUCGAUUCUCGGCGUGGGAA